rnacentral:rRNA from 1 species
GGGAUCGGCUCAAGCUGAUAAUCUCUGGCUGCUGUGUGUGUGGUCAGCGAAUUGUAGUCUAGAAUGGUCACCUUGUGCACAGCUCGUUCUGGUAAAGUCCACUUGGAAUAGUGUGCCAGAGAGGGUGAGAGCCCCGUGUAACGUGUUGGGCCAGAUCUGAGCGUGUAAUCGGUGGCCGUUGAUGAGUCGGGUUGUUUGGGAUUGCAGCCCAAAGUGGGUGGUAGACUCCACUGAAAGCUAAAUAUACCCACGAGACCGAUAGUGAACAAGUACCGUGAGGGAAAGAUGAAAAGCACUUUGAAAAGAGGGUGAAAAGACCGUGAAACCGUUAGGAGGGAAACGAACAGGCUGACCGUUGCGUCGGCAAGAUUCAGGCAAGUUGUGCUGUUGGGUCUGGUAGCUGUUGGCUGGUCUGAGUGUUCUGAUCAUGUAGGAUGCAAGCCGAUGCUCCAGAGUAAACUCAGCCYUCUCUGCUGUACUUCAUGCUGUACGAAGCUAGUCACGUUCGUCUGUGUGCUGUGUGUGUUUACCCGCAUACAGUUGCACGAACCUGUGAUAGUUGGCUUGGUAAGGAAGGUGGCUGUUUUCGCCCAUCUCCGGAUUGGGUUUGGGUGUUGAACAGUGUUUAUAGCCAUGCCUUGUAGCAGCUGUCUAGACGAACGAGGCAAAAUGGCACCUGUAUGCUGGUGUCCUUGAUUCGAUCCGAUUCAUGGCAACAUGGGUCUGCCGCGCAAUGGUGGCCACCUCGUGCGUUUCUCGAUCUGACCUCGUAGAGGGCAGUUGAGCCAUGUGGGUGUCUUCACGAUUGUGUUGAGCUGGUGAUCGAUGUGUG